rfam:Camelus ferus unplaced genomic scaffold scaffold379, whole genome shotgun sequence.
GCGGGUAUAGCUCAGUGGUAAAGCACGUGCUUAGCACGCAGAAGGUCCUGGGUUCAAUCCCCAGUACCUCCA